UACGGGGGGAGCAAGCGUUGUUCGGCUUUACUGGGCGUAAAGGGCGCGUAGGCGGCCACUGCAAGUCGGUUGUGAAAUCUCCGGGCUUAACCCGGAAAGGUCAAUCGAUACUGCAGGGCUAGAGUGCGGAAGGGGCAACUGGAAUUCUCGGUGUAGCGGUGAAAUGCGUAGAUAUCGAGAGGAACACCUGCGGCGAAGGCGGGUUGCUGGGCCGACACUGACGCUGACAGCGCGAAAGCUAGGGGAGCGAACGGG
rnacentral:rRNA from 1 species